rnacentral:rRNA from 1 species
UACGUAGGUGGCAAGCGUUGUCCGGAUUUAUUGGGUUUUAAGGGUGCGUAGGCGGUCUAUUAAGUCAGCGGUGAAAUACUCCAGCUUAACUGGAGGGGUGCCAUUGAUACUGAUGGACUUGAGUCAAGUCGAGGUAGGCGGAAUUGACGGUGUAGCGGUGAAAUGCUUAGAUAUUGGGAGGAACACCAGUGGCGAAGGCGGCUCGCUGGACCGGUUCUGACGCUGAUGCGCGAAAGCGUGGGGAGCAAACGGG